GGGGAAUUUUGGACAAUGGGCGCAAGCCUGAUCCAGCCAUUCCGCGUGCAGGAUGAAGGCCUUCGGGUUGUAAACUGCUUUUGUACGGAACGAAAAGGUCCUGGUUAAUACCUGGGGCUCAUGACGGUACCGUAAGAAUAAGCACCGGCUAACUACGUGCCAGCAGCCGCGGUAAUACGUAGGGUGCAAGCGUUAAUCGGAAUUACUGGGCGUAAAGCGUGCGCAGGCGGUCUUGUAAGACAGAGGUGAAAUCCCCGGGCUCAACCUGGGAACUGCCUUUGUGACUGCAAGGCUGGAGUACGGCAGAGGGGGAUGGAAUUCCGCGUGUAGCAGUGAAAUGCGUAGAUAUGCGGAGGAACACCGAUGGCGAAGGCAAUCCCCUGGGCCUGUACUGACGCUCAUGCACGAAAGCGUGGGGAGCAAAC
rnacentral:rRNA from 1 species